rnacentral:pre_miRNA from 1 species
AAGGUGUUUUCAAAAAUAUUUUUCAUCAAAAUGAAUAAAAAGAGGAUGUAUCUAGAUGUAUUUUAGUUCUAGAUACAUCCCUUUUCUAUCCACUUUGAUGACAAGUAUUUUUGGACGGACGGAGUACAUA